rnacentral:rRNA from 1 species
AGCCAUGCGAGUCCAGAGCUUUCGGAGCUCGGCGUACCGCUCAGUAACACGUGGGUAACCUACACCUAUGCAGGGGAAUAACCUCGGGAAACUGAGUAUAAUGCCCCAUAGCCCACUACGCCUGGAACGGUGAGUGGAUCAAAGCUCAGGCGGCAUAGGAUGGGCCUGCGGCGUAUCAGGUUGUAGGGGGUGUAAAGUACCCUCUAGCCAUCUACGCGUUCGGGUGUUGGGAGACAUAGCCCGGAGAUGGAUUCUGAGACACGAAUCCAGACCCUACGGGGUGCAGCAGGCGCGAAAACUUGACAAUGCGAGCAAUCGUGAUCAGGGAACUCCAAGUGGCUGGGGUAAGACCCAGUCUUUUCAUAACUCUUCAAAGGUUGUAGAAUAAGGGGUGGGUAAGGACGGUGCCAGCCGCCGCGGUAAUACCGGCGCCUCAAGUGGUAGUCGCUUUUAUUGGGCCUAAAACGUCCGUAGCCGGUUUGGUACAUUCGUGGGUAAAGCAACUCGCUCAACGAGUUGAAUUCUGCGAGGACGG